rnacentral:rRNA from 1 species
UACGAAGGGGGCUAGCGUUGCUCGGAAUUACUGGGCGUAAAGGGAGCGUAGGCGGACAGUUUAGUCAGAGGUGAAAGCCCAGGGCUCAACCUUGGAAUUGCCUUUGAUACUGACUGUCUUGAGUACGGGAGAGGUGUGUGGAACUCCGAGUGUAGAGGUGAAAUUCGUAGAUAUUCGGAAGAACACCAGUGGCGAAGGCGACUACCUGGCCUGUUCUUGACGCUGAGGCGCGAAAGCUAGGGGAGCAAACGGG